rnacentral:misc_RNA from 1 species
GGAAUAUUGGUCAAUGGACGGAAGUCUGAACCAGCCAAGUAGCGUGCAGGAUGACGGCCCUAUGGGUUGUAAACUGCUUUUGUAUGGGGAUAAAGUUAGGGACGUGUCCCUAUUUGCAGGUACCAUACGAAUAAGGACCGGCUACUUCCGUGCCAGCAGCCGCGGUAAUACGGAAGGUCCAGGCGUUAUCCGGAUUUAUUGGGUUUAAAGGGAGCGUAGGCUGGAGAUUAAGUGUGUUGUGAAAUGUAGACGCUCAACGUCUGAAUUGCAGCGCAUACUGGUUUCCUUGAGUACGCACAACGUUGGCGGAAUUCGUCGUGUAGCGGUGAAAUGCUUAGAUAUGACGAAGAACUCCGAUUGCGAAGGCAGCUGACGGGAGCACAACUGACGCUUAAGCUCGAAGGUGCGGGUAUCAAACAGGA